rnacentral:rRNA from 1 species
UACGGGGGGGGGCAAGCGUUGUUCGGAAUUACUGGGCGUAAAGGGCUCGUAGGCGGCCAACUAAGUCGGAUGUGAAAAUCCCCCAGGCUCAACCUGGGAACUGCAUCCGAUACUGGAUGGCUUGAAUUCGGGAGAGGGAUGCAGAAUUCCAGGUGUAGCGGUGAAAUGCGUAGAUAUCUGGAGGAAUACCGGUGGCGAAGGCGGCAUCCUGGACCGACAUUGACGCUGAUGAGCGAAAGCUAGGGGAGCAAACGGG